CCUGCUGCACAGGAGACCGGGCUGCUCUCAGAGACACUUGUGCCCAUGUUAGCUGAGCAGGAGCUGACAUUUGUUGAAGAUCAUCGGAAAGACAGAUGACGGGCACCGAACCCAAAAGGUGGCCCUCUGUGUCAGAAGGAGCCAUGACGAUGGCACAGCUCUCUGCCGUAGCCCAAGCCUAUUCCUGUUCUGCUUUCAACACUGGGUACAAGCUAGAAAUAAUGGGAGGCAAAGUUUGUCCUUGAGAAAAGAGCCUUAAAAUAACAAAGUAUACAGUGGGAAGGAGAGGAACAAGGGAAAUAAAUUAGCUAUUUACACGA